UGCAGAAUCCCGUGAACCAUCGAGUCUUUGAACGCAAGUUGCGCCCCAAGCCUUCUGGCCGAGGGCACGUCUGCCUGGGUGUCACAAAUCGUCGUCCCCCAAUCCUCAUGAGGAUAUGGGACGGAAGCUGGUCUCCCGUGUUGUACCGAACGCGGUUGGCCAAAAUCCGAGCUAAGGACGCCAGGAGCGUCUCGACAUGCGGUGGUGAAUUCAAGCCUCUUGAUUUUGUCGGUCGCUCUUGUCCGGAAGCUCUUGAUGACCCAAAGUCCUCAAUGCGACCCCAGGUCAGGCGGGAUCACCCGCUGAGUUUAA
rnacentral:rRNA from 1 species